GGAAGCGUCACAGGCUGAUAACGUGACCUUUGCGCGCAGCUCAAUUAUUGCGCGGGCUGGGGGCGGGGCCUGCGGGGAAGGGACAGAGCCAAGCCCAGCCUUGAGCCAUCCUCGCCCCUGUGGCGGAAAUGGGAGGGUGCCUGGAGGAGUGGAGGGAUUGGAUUUACACCCUCUUUUCCCUCCGAAGCCUCCUUGGUGGGGGCGAAGAAAGACCAUCCAACCCUGCCAAAGGCAAAAGGAUUAAGGAUAAAUGAAAGCAAGAUAAUGUAGAAGAACUACUUAGCUGCUGGGUUUUUGGAGAUGAGUGAUUUUUUUUUGUAGGGAGAAAUUAUGAAACACAUUGAAAUGGACAAAAAAUUACUGAAUGUCUUCAAUGAAAAAACAGCCAUAGUUUGGCACACCGUCCCGGGCAUUCUGUUGCUAGAGGGGCUGUCCGCUUUUCUUUGUGGUGCUCUGCACAACUCGGCAGUUGCGGUUUUCCUGCCCUUGGGACGUGCAAUUAUGUUGUCCAGCCCGCUGCCAGAGGACAGCAGGAAGGGAGAUGUGUUGUCCACCCCACUGCCACUGGACCACUUCUAUACAUAGCUGGUUCUUCUGUCCAGCCCGCUGCCACUGGACUCUUUCCCCUCUGUCACCACUGGACUGUAAGCUCCUAAUACAAACCCAUGUCUCAUUUACUGGCUCUCCAGUCUCUUCUUGGCCUCUUGAACCUGGUACCUUCUCUAUUGAGCCACCAGAUGUUAUGCUCCAUCAAAAUGAAAUGAGUACAUUAAAGAGGAAAAUGUGGGAUGCAGAAAACAGGAUAUCCAACAUAAGUGAGAUGUGGAUGAAGACUCCAGAGAAUAAUAGAGAUUUCAGUAUGAAGACUGUACAUUAGGUGUAGAGGUCAACCAUUUCAGAUUGGAGCACGAUCAUCAUUUUUGCCUUCUGUAAUUCUACUGAGUUUUUAUCUUAAUGAAGCUACUUGAGGAUGUACUCCACCAAAAAAAAGGAGAAAACCAAGAGGAAGAGAUGAGAACCAAAAAACCAGAAAUCAAACUUAGGACAAAAGCCGAGGAAAUUUCAUAAGAUGAAAGCAAAAGGAAGUCUCAGGAUGACAGCUGUGCAGGGGGCCUAGGAAGCCACCAGUACUAAUAGAAGAGAAUGAAGGUAUCAGGGAGCAAGAAAGAAAUUAGCACUGAUAGGCUACCUAAUCGGGUAGAUCUGGC
rnacentral:lncRNA from 1 species